UAGGGAAUCUUCCGCAAUGGACGAAAGUCUGACGGAGCAACGCCGCGUGAGUGAUGAAGGUUUUCGGAUCGUAAAACUCUGUUGUUAGGGAAGAACAAGUACAAGAGUAACUGCUUGUACCUUGACGGUACCUAACCAGAAAGCCACGGCUAACUACGUGCCAGCAGCCGCGGUAAUACGUAGGUGGCAAGCGUUGUCCGAAAUUAUUGGGCGUAAAGCGCGCGCAGGCGGUCCUUUAAGUCUGAUGUGAAAGCCCACGGCUCAACCGUGGAGGGUCAUUGGAAACUGGGGGACUUGAGUGCAGAAGAGAAGAGUGGAAUUCCACGUGUAGCGGUGAAAUGCGUAGAGAUGUGGAGGAACACCAGUGGCGAAGGCGACUCUUUGGUCUGUAACUGACGCUGAGGCGCGAAAGCGUGGGGAGCAAACAGGAUUAGAUACCCUGGUAGUCCACGCCGUAAACGAUGAGUGCUAAGUGUUAGAGGGUUUCCGCCCUUUAGUGCUGCAGCAAACGCAUUAAGCACUCCGCCUGGGGAGUACGGCCGCAAGGCUG
rnacentral:rRNA from 1 species